UGUAUACUCGUGCCACUUUGCUUCUUAAAUGUGUUUUAAUAAAUUCGUUUCCUCGAGACUGUUCCUGCAAUGGAUGUGCUCGUAAAGCUGCGUCGUUAUGUGCUCAAUUAAUAACAGGGUUGAACCCGCAGUUUUAAUGAAUGUAGCGGCGCGCAUGGACCUCUCCGCCUCUCCACACGAAACUUGAACGCAUCAGACGUCCUCCACUUUACCAAGCUCCCCACUUAUUUCUGCCCUCGAUUUUACGCAUUGUUUUUUCGGACCCCGUGCCCUUUUUACAACUCCUGGAAAGUUUCUCUGCCGCCUGGAUAUGUGGUGGAUGCUGUUUCCCAGAUGGAUUUGGUUUUUAUUCGGGCAGCUCUGCGUCUUGCGCUUGGACUUGCGCGCCAGAGCGCUGCCAAUGCCAAUGUCAAUGUCCAAAGUGGUUUAUACACACGCGGGGAUGUGUCCGAACGAGAUGAACCCGAACCUGUGGGUAGACGCCAUGAGCACCUGCAUGCGCGAGUGUGAGUCCGAUCAGGAUUGUGAGCCAUUCGAGAAAUGCUGUUCAAACGUUUGUGGAAACAAGAGCUGUGUGGCCGCCCGAUACAUGGACCUCCGGGGAAGGAAAGGUCCGAUGGGAAUGCCCAAAGGGAUCACCUGCGACCAAUUCACAUGCACACAACAGGGUUCAGAAUGCGACAUCUGGGACGGGCAGCCGGUGUGCAAGUGCAAAGACCGCUGCGGACAGGAGCCCCGCUUCACCUGCGCCUCGGACGGCAUGACAUACUACAACAAAUGCUAUUUGGAUGCAGAGGCUUGCACGAGGGGUGUCUCUCUCAUCGAAGUCACCUGCAAGUUCCACCUCAGCUUCUCCAACACCAGCCCUCUACCGGAGGAGACCACCGUUCGCCCCACCACGGCUCAUUUGGAGACCACCCCUACGGAUGUUCAAGCACCUGUGAUGGUCAGCAAUCCGGUAAACAAUUUCGUGUUUGUAGGCGAAACGGCUAGUUUCCUAUGCGAGGUGACGGGCAAGCCCAAACCGGCAAUCACUUGGGAGAAACAAAUGAAAGGCAAGGAGAGCACAGUGAUGGGACCCAAUAACGUGCUUGGAAACAUAGUGGUUACCAACAUCGCCCAGCUGGUUAUAUAUAACGCUCAAAUCCAAGAUGCCGGCAUCUACACCUGCACCGCCGCAAACCCCGGCGGCACAGUCCAGGCUCAUUUCCCGCUCUCUGUGGUACCCCAAGAACAGACCAAACCGAAGCCGGUGACGAAUUCCACACGCUUAACGCCAGAGGAGUGUUUGAAAGAACCCGAUAUGGAUAUCUGCGGAGAGGAGGGUGUUCGUUGGUACUAUGAAUCCAAAAGCAACAACUGCUUCACCUUCACGUUCAGGCAAUGCGACACGAACAAAAACCAUUUCGACACGUACGACUCAUGCAUGUCGUCCUGCGGAAUGGUGCUCACCGCACCUUGCUCCUUACCGAGCGUGCAAGGGCCCUGCAAGUCAUACACACCACGUUGGGCCUACAGCCCUGCCGUCAAGGAAUGCCAGCCAUUUGUUUACGGUGGAUGCGGUGGAAACAAGAACAACUUUAAGAACCAGGAAGCCUGCGAGGAGUUGUGUCCCUUCCCCAAGACCAAAAACUGCAAGCAGUGCAAACCCAGGCAGAAGAUGGUUUCGAGCUUCUGCAAGAGCGACUUCGUGGUCCUGGGACGUAUUUCCGAGCUGAUGGAAGAGCACGAUUCCGCACUCAUCACGAUGGAGGAGAUCUUAAAGGACGAAAAGAUGGGGCUGCGGUUCUUCCGUCAGGAACCUCUGGAGGUGACGCUGCUCAACAUGGAUUGGAAAUGUCCCUGUCUGAACGUAACCAGAGCCGAGGGUCAAAUGAUCAUCAUGGGGAACGUUCAGAACGGCAUGGCCGUCCUGCAGCCCAACAGCUUCGUGGUCACCUCGACGGCGCGGCGGGUUCGUAAACUCCGUGAGGUUGUCAACAAAAAGCCUUGUGACAUUUUGAUGGAGUUCAGCAGCACGAAGUACUAGCAGGAUGCAAAAACAGAGAGAAAAAACAACUACAAUCACGUCAUCACGACGGAGAGACGGAUAAUGUGAUUUUAACUUUGUGAACGACACAAAGGAUUUCAUAUGAAAGUGUUAUCUUAUUUACAUCUACACAUUGUAGUGGAAGUAUUAUUUUAGUUUGACUAAAAAGCGGACUCUCUGUACCUGUCCUAAAACAAAAGCCUUGCAGGCCGUCACUGAACCUUCAUUGGAAACAGGGUAAAUCCCGAGGCAAAAGGAGAGACGUGUUCCUUUGAGUAUGACGGUAAAUGAGAUUAUUCCACGAAGAAAAAGACAUCAUGACUGUUCAGGUACGACUUCAGGAUCCAAAUGUGGACUGGAAUAUCACAGAGAGACCUUCGGGUAGACACCUUUAAAUUUGUCAGGCAAGCAACCAAAUAGCAAGCAUCCAAAAUAAUGGUGUACAUGGCCUUAACCCAGUCCUAAAACGAACAAAUCUGAUUGGCUGUUGAGCCAGGAAGUCAAAAUCGCUCCUGCCUUAGGGGUGGCAAAAAAGCCUUUUUGUUAAAUUGAAGGAAAUCUCAUUCUGACAGUUCCGAUCUACCAUCCUGAACAAAAGGCAGUUGUUUGGAGUGGGGCGAGCUUUACACCCCCGUGUGAAUUACAGCGCCUGUCCACUGCCCUGUAUUGCGAACCAAGAACAGAA